GUAGGAUGGCUGAGUUAUAGGCGAUAAAUUGUAAAUUUAUUAACGAAAUUUUAUUUCUUCUACUAG
rnacentral:tRNA from 1 species